UGCCAUAAUGGAAUGCAACACAUCACAGACAAAUCACAUCGCGGAUGGUAUUGUCACCAAGAGUCCUCUACAUUCCAAAGUGCCGGGACGUAGAAUGGGUCAACCGGUCUUUCUCUUAACAUAACAUAACAUAACAUUCCAAUGUGCCAGGGACGUAGAAUGGGUACAACCUGGACUUUCUCUUACAUAGUGCCAGGGACGUAGAAUGGGUACAACCUGGACUUCCGUACCAUACCGUAUCAUGUCACAUCGCAUCAUAUCGAGGACUAAGGAUCAUCCAAUAACCAUCCACAUCAUCAUCAAAUUAUGCAAUGCAACAUAUUCGUGAA
rnacentral:lncRNA from 1 species